GAAUUACAAUUUUCAUCAGCAGGUCGAGAUCUGCAUACUGCACGAAAGCAGAGAGAUCCGUAGUUGACGCACUGACAAAAAGAAGCAGGGAGAUCCGCAAUCACGUUGUCAUAGCACGUAGACCAUGCCGACCUCGAGCAGCGACGCCGGCGGCACGCGCAGCACCACGUCCGGGCCGCGGCAGUUCCGCCGCAGGAAGUUGUAGCCGACGCCGACGGCCAGCUUCUUCAGCACCGAAGACCCCGGCUUAGUCUGCACGUGCGAGUGCCCCAGGAUGAACGCCGUCCCCGCCUCCCGCGCCUCGCACAGCUCCUGCAGCUCCUCCAGCACGCGCUCGUCCACGCCGGGGCUCCUCGGCGCCGCGCUCUCCACCGCGAACCUCACCUGCUUCUUAAUCGCCGGCGCCGCCGCCGCGAGCUCGAUCCCGUUCGCGCUGCCAGCGGCCUCGUGGGCCGACGACACGCCGUCGUGGGAGUCGUCGUAUCCCAGGCCCAGGUGGCGCCGCAGCGGGUUGCUCCCGAUGACGGUGAGCGCGUUCUCGCGCUCGUAGUAGCUGCUGUCCCGCUGCUCGCCGCCGGCGUCGCUGCACCGGAACAGCGCGUCGAGCUUGAUGAAGGUGGCGAGGCUCUCGACGAGCUCCGUCUCGAAGGAGUCCACGUCCUGGUGCACGUCGCGGUAGCCGUAGCGCACGAUGCACCGGUAGGAGUGGUGGCCCGGCGGCCCGACGCGGC
rnacentral:lncRNA from 1 species